rnacentral:rRNA from 1 species
UACGGAGGGAGCUAGCGUUGUGCGGAAUUACUGGGCGUAAAGCGCACGUAGGCGGCUAUUCAAGUCGGGGGUGAAAGCCCGGGGCUCAACCCCGGAACUGCCCUCGAAACUAGAUAGCUAGAAUCUUGGAGAGGCGAGUGGAAUUCCGAGUGUAGAGGUGAAAUUCGUAGAUAUUCGGAAGAACACCAGUGGCGAAGGCGACUCGCUGGACAAGUAUUGACGCUGAGGUGCGAAAGCGUGGGGAGCAAACAGG